UGGAUUCCUCAUCAUUAUGUUGGCUAUUGGACCAGUUUUGCUCUUUUUGAUGGAAGCAAAAAAGUGAAUUACAAAUGGAACAGAUAAGACACAUGUGUUCAUAUCCUUGGAAUCUCCUGAAUGAAAUAAAUAACAAAACACUUGCGUGCAUUAGCCUACAAUGGACAAGGGUGAUUCAUCUAAGGAUUUCAUAUAAGGGAACCAUCUUUGUAGCUUAAGGGUUUAUAUAUGUCGAUAUAUACCAUCUGAACAGUGAAGAAUUAGAUCCCUAUAUUGUACGUGAGGCUCAAUAUCAGGACUUAACAAUAGCAAUGGUCUUAAUGCAGAAAUUGACAAGUCAACACCCACUUCUCCAACUAGGAUCUAGACUCUGCUCAUGUUGCAUGUAUACUUCAAACUGAAAACCCUUGAAGCAAAUUAUCCUCCAUUGGUAUAGCACAACAGCUCUGGGUGAGGAAGAUCCAAAAGCUCUCUUUUACGUGAGAUGCUAGAUGAUAAAAAAGAAUGGGCUACUUCAAGGGGUACCUUGCUGCAGUAGCCCAAGCAAUCAUGUAAGUCCUUAUUAAUUCCUCCCUUUGAGUGGUACCAAAUCGUAUCUGUCAGGACUGACUUGGAUGAUGAGACCGCGUCCUAUACUCGGGAAGAUGAUGAGGGGCUUCAGUUCUUUGGUGAAACCAAUGAUGCGCUACAUGCAGAAACGAAAUCAAGAAUGCAAUUUUCGCACUUUCCUACUUGAUUGAAUUUUCAGACAUAUCAAAUUUAAUACAUUACACCUGUGGUGGAACGAGGGCUUCCCAUCACAAGGGUUUUUAGUCGAAUGACUUUGAAACAAAUUUUGUCAAAAACUGACAAAAUUUAACGGAGUUAUAUCAUGUAUUUUUUGUUGAAUUCUCGGAAGAUGAGAAGACAAUCAAGUAGACUUGGAGAUGGACCAGAUGCGAUUGAUUCGACCUUAAUGAUGAAUCGGAAGGUAGUUAGACUUUAUUAGCUCUUCCAUUUUUACUCCACUGAAUUUGAUUUUCAAUUUAUGGCCACCUCUACAGUAAAAUCCUUCGAGUUCGGGACCAAAAAUGUCUUUUGCAGCUUUUGCUAGCUCCAGUUGAAUGGUGCCUAAUUCU